AUUCUCGCCUCCUUCGUCACCCCCCCACCCCAGAGGUCGGGACAGGAGUUCCCCGGACGGGGUACCUUGGCAGCUGGGUUGGUCAUAGUUUUGUGAGAGAGAGAGAGGGAGAGAAUCCAUGGAGGCGGACUCCAUGCUGCGUGUGGAGCCGGACCCAGGGCUUGAUUCCACAACCCAGAGGUCAUGACCGAAACCAAAACCACGAGUCAGAUGCUUAACCAACUGAGCCAUGAAGGUGGAAGUGCAUUUAUCAACAUUCACUUGAAAUCUGGGUAUACCUUCCUGAGUUAUCUUCAGCUCAGCUGAGGAACUUGCUUUUUGAACUUUGGCAGCUUAGCUUCUUCCACCAUCCAGUCCUCUCAACAGCCAGUAUAGGACAGCCCAGCAGG